rnacentral:rRNA from 1 species
UACGUAGGGGGCUAGCGUUGUCCGGAUUUAUUGGGCGUAAAGAGCGUGUAGGCGGCCAGGUAGGUCUGCUGUGAAAACUCGAGGCUCAACCUCGAGACGUCGGCGGAAACCAUCUGGCUAGAGUCCGGAAGAGGAGAGUGGAAUUCCUGGUGUAGCGGUGAAAUGCGUAGAUAUCGGGAGGAACACCUGUGGCGAAAGCGGCUCACUGGACCAUUACUGACGCUGAUGCUCGAAAGCUAGGGGAGCAAACAGG